CAACAACGACAGAAAAGGCAGCCUGAAUCCUGUGCAGCCAACUUCCCUCAUCAGGCGACCGCGCCGAGAGCAAUGUUCGAGAGCAAACUUCCUCGUGACGUUCGUCUUGCUAUUGAUGCCAAAACGCUAGCCCUCCAGCAGCAGAAAGCCGCCACUGAGCCGUCCAUCUUCUGGUAGGUGAUUUUCCUGUGGACAGUGGUGGCCGCCCUGGCUAUGUUCCUAUUCAUCUAUCUUUACAUCAUCCACACGAGACUGCCCACAUACCCACACCACAAUUACACCGGCCAAUCCAGAUUAACCAAGCGAGCCAUGCGUCUUGGAAUUCCACUGCCGGGUCACGUGGGCAGCUCGUGCGAUGUCUCCUCCCAAUGCCUGGACGAGGCCGACUGCGUUCGCGGUGUCUGCCCGUGCGACACCGACGCCUUCCGAGUGGUCGCCGGCGCUUGCAUCUCCGUCCCCGACACAAGCACCGUGUCAACCAUCACCAACAGCAGCGCCAGCCACGAGCUCAGGCCAUUGCUUCGGGGUGAUGGUGACCUCAGGUUCCGCGCCUAAAACUAAUCUCAUUAGAGAGAGAGAGAGAUCAGGAGAGAUGGGGAUAUUGAAUCCUGGAGAUGUUUGCCUGUAGGCACGCCUAUACUUGAGGACAACUUCCUGUGGCAAUGGAAGGAAGUCUAGGGCAAGACCACAUCGAUGGACAGGAAGGACACAUCACAAAUACUUGUGUUGUGACCUCCCAGUAACAUUGCAGGCACGAAGACAACGAAGAAUUGAAUUUGUGACCAAAAAAUGAAAUGAUUAGGAGCCACGUCUCCAGCCGUCACCUGGCGUCAGUUUGAACUUCGGGUGGUCAAUUUUCGACUUCACGAUGAACUCUGAGUUUCGCUACCGGCGAACAAUACCGAAGAAAAAUCAGUUUCCCUAUAUGAAAACAAUCAUUUACUUAACUCAAACUCGCGAUCUAUGAGAUAAAAAUAUUUGCUCUGCUUUAUGGCUGUAAGGAGCUGGCCUGUGUAUACUGCA